ACGUAGGGGGCGAGCGUUGUCCGAAUUUACUGGGCGUAAAGCGCGCGUAGGCGGUUUCUUAAGUCUGGGGUGAAAGGUUCAACGCUCAACGUGAACAGUGCCUUGGAUACUGGGAGACUUGAGUCUGGGAGGGGGUAGUGGAAUUCCUGGUGUAGCGGUGAAAUGCGUAGAUAUCAGGAGGAACACCGGUGGUGUAGACGGCUAUCUGGACCGUAACUGACGCUGAGACACGAAAGCGUGGGUAGCAAACAGGA
rnacentral:rRNA from 1 species